UGCGCCGGGGGCGUCCGGGGAGCGCCUCAGCAGGAGGCAGCAGUGAUCAGCAAGAAGGCGAAGUAGAAAAGAGGGACCCGAAUCAGGGCAAAGUCUAGAGCUCUUUAACGUCUCCAGGGAAGGCCAGCCGAGUCAGGACCAAGAGAUUCUGCUCUCAGAAAUAAGAAAAGACUACUCCAUAAAGACGGCAAAACAGGGCUUCACUCCUCUUAAAUGUCACUCCAUCUGUUUUGGACCAGUGAUUUCCAUGACUCCUGUAAGGAGAACCAUUGUUUCAUUUUUCUAACAGCCAUUCUUCUUUCAUAUAAAUGCUGAACACCCUUGCCCACUGUGCACUUUGACAGGCCCUUCCCUCAACAGCCUGGGAUCCCACAAGUAUCUGCUUGAUCAGUUCCUACUGAGCACUGCUACCAUGCAAGUUCUUGUAAAACCCCCCAAGUCACUGAUGUGUUCAGAGCUGGGCUUUGCUGCAGAGAACAAGAUAAUGCUUCACUUCUUGUAGGAUCAGUGACAUGACACAGAAAGGGACCUUAUUCCAGUCACUGGAGGUUUGAUGUAUCGGGACAACACAGGAGAAUAAGUUUGAUCCCUUAAGAAAGAUGACACAAGGGAGUAAGUGACCCAUGGAAAGGUAGAAGUUGGUGAUUCAGACUUUCUUCUGGACUUUUACAACUUCAUUUAACCACAAGCUUGGGGAGGGUUUACCAGGAGAAUCCACAACUAUUUCUGAAUCUCUGCUGCCAAAAACAAUUCCCUAAACUGUAAAACAUAUAAGCUUGUCUCUUACAAAUUUAAUACAAGUGUUGACUGGAAAAAACCAAAUAAACCAACAAAAGGGAAGAAAAAAGAAAAAUAGCUCCACAUAUGCCCAUCUGACUCUAUGUUGCAGGGGACAAGAUAUCACUGAUGCAUACAGUGACGUUGUCAGGCUUGCAUUGAUCUGUAAUUGGUCAACAUAGUUUAUAGUUCAACCUUUACAGGUACUAACAUUUUGCCUAUAUUUUUAAGCUCUGACAGAGUGACAAGUUCUGACUGACCUGUAUUCGGUGGUAUUUUUCCUAAGUAGGAAAAAUUUAGCUUGUAACCUCCAAAAUGAAUGGGCCGUUUCAAAUUCCUGCUUCAUUAUUCCAAGUUAAAUGACUUGCAUUUAUCAACCCAAAGUGUCUUGUGCCAUUGUGUUAAGUCUUGUUGUCUCUUUUUGGAUUUCCAUAUGACUCUUGACUGGUGUAAACAACUACAAAUUCUUCCACCUGAGAGUUUGUUUUCCUGUUUUCAAGUGUCAGUCACUACUUCCCCAACUUUUUCUCCUAUAAUGAAAAAAAAAAAAAAAUUCUUCCUUAUUUCUACAAAGAGGAACCCUUUUUAUACGUGUCUUGCAGAGAGAAAAAUUUCCAUCUAUUAAACACCAUCUUUAAUUUUUUUACAUGGAAAGAUAUUUCAAGGAGUGAAUAUUAAUAAAAUCAGGAGAAAAAUUUGUUAGAAAACAAUUUCCAGUCAUCUGAAACUACUAAAUUUUUGGUAAAUAUCUUGGGAAAGCAUGGUGCAAAAAUUGCUUUAUAUCAAUCAGGCUCACAACUCAGGAAAAAAACAAAAAAAGAUAGGUGCACAUGUAUGUCAAAAUUUGUAAUCCUGCUGCAAAAAUUCCCCUUGGUUCCAGAUGUUCAAGUUGUGCUAGACUUAGUCUUCAUGUAUCCUCAUAUUGCAAUGAACUUGACUUUCCCUUUCCCCCUGUGUAUAUGCAUAUGCUGUUAUUAAAAGAUCAAAGGUCUAUCCAAAUCUAACUGGCCAAUCAGAUUAUUAUGACCAACUUUCUGUAGUCAGUGACAUGAGGGCAGGCAACUUGCUGAGUAACACACUUGAUUUGCUUCAGAAACCGUUUAUACAUAAAUAACCAUAGAUGAGGGAUUUGUUAAGAAGAGUUUAGACUCACUAUUCACUGGAUUUCAUAGAAGCAAUAACAGCUUCUAUGAACGACAGCAACAGCUUCAACAAUGCUAGAAUCAGAUCAAAUAUCUCCAACAAGGGUCAAUGACAUGAUAGCCUGCGUCAUGGCCCCUCCACAAAUGAUAAGGUCUUCCAUCUAGGAUGGCCAACACAAGCAGAAACUGCCAGCAAAAGAAUAACAGUUUUCUUUUUGUGCAGUGAUACAUCUGUGUCUUUCUUGAACAGAGACAGAGGGUUUGAUACUGAGGGGUUUUUUCUGUAGUCAUCAGUAAUGGUAUUUUCAUUAAAAAUUAAUGACAGCAACACUUAAUUUUUAAUCUUGGAAUGGUGUUGAAGUAUUUAAUCACUCAAAAAGAAACAUUACAAGGAACCUAAAGGUGUAGUGUCCCAAGCCAGCUUGAACACAGGAAUGCAAAAUGCUUUUGUUAUAAGUUUCAAGCCGCACUGAAGUUGAGUUGAGAUUUUGUGUGCCAAGUUACAGCCUAAAGAGAGGGUGGUUUUGGCUAAAAUAUAAGCCCUGGAGAAUGGGAAGCAGUCUAGAGGAAGCAUCAAAUAGCAUUUGACUACUGUAUGGUGAAGCAAGUGGCUAUGUUACAACAAAAUCACUCAAUAGGACCAUUUCUUGCAUUAGUAUUUUAAUUAAAAUAAAGAAUACUUGCCUCCAUCUUACACUCUACAGUUGUCUCUUCAAAUUUCACAGACAUACAUAAUGUACAAAAAAAUAGGGUCACAAAUCCUAGCAGACUUGAAAUAUAACUCAGAAGCUUUGUGAGAAAUAUGGCAAAUAAGAAUUAGUGAUUGCAUGAACAUUUAUUUGUAGGUAAUAUUAAUAGGUCCAUAAAGUAUUUCUGGACAAUAAAGAAUAAAUAACACCUACUAUUAAUGUAAUGGUUAAAAAAAAAAUGUUGCUUGCCACACCUUUGCAAUACUCUAGUUUAAUACAUUAUUAAACAGCAUCCCAGAAUAGAUAAACACUGAACAGAAACUCCAGAUGUAGAGAUAUUUCCUGUGGUUUUAUCAGCAGCAACAUGGUUAAUGCUAGCCCAGUCCUGGUCUCAGCGUAGAAAGGACCUUUGGUUUGCUCUGUUUGGUUUUUGGAUGAAUAAUAACACUUACGUGAGCUUCACACUGGGCUUGGUGCUUUGAUCAAAUCACUUUCCAGUGGGCACAAAAUCUGCCUCUAAUGUUUGCACCUUAGCUUAGAUUUUAAAGUAAACCACUGAGAUAAGACCCUGCCAAUUUAGCCUUGCAUGCCACUUUCUCCAGCCAAACGGUUGUACAGAUUGCAGGAUCUUCCACCAAGAGAAAAACAGGUCUUCUCCCAGCCAUGCCAACAAAUCAUCCAGGAGCCUGCUCUGCACAUCCUCACUGGUUUCCCCCAAGCAACAUCUCUGUUGAGCCCAAAGCAACUGUGGAGGGAAUCGGUGGUUACUGGCACCAUACAUUAGGAGCUUUUAAGGUCUGCUAGCCCACGUCUGAGAGUAGAAAAACUCACAAGGAGACACAGGUUUUCUUCAUUGCCCUUCCGGUUCUCCAUCCAGUCAAGUUACUGUGGGUGAGAAAUUCAGCCAUACCGUGCAAGUUUCUCAAGAAAGAUGAACCGCAUAGCACAGACUAGCACUGGCUGAAAAUAAGGUAAAAACCUUUUAUAAUCACUUUAAUUGAAGACGAUCUCCUCACUGGAGCCCAGGUCAGAUUGGUUUAUGAAAAGGAAUUACGGAUGCAAUUCUGGAGGAUCAGGGAGAUCCGUGAAGGGCUCUUGCCCUGUCUCCAAUCCCCAUGGCCCCCAGAUGCUUACUAAAUCAGCAUGCUUUCACUUGGGCAGUAGCACUCCAGCCUGAUUGAUAUCUGCCUCCCCAGUGUGAAGAUUUCUGCUAUACACAAUUGUAUCUCCCUCUAAUGACUAAAUGUAUUUUUGAAAGCCAUGCCUCAAUAUAAUUUUAGAGUCUAUAAAGUAUGUAUCUACCUAUGAUGUGUAGAUUCAACUCUCUUAUAUUUCAUUCCUAAUUAUGCACCAAGGUAUAAAUUGUAUUUUGUUUAAAACUGUCCAAAUUUUAAAAGAGUUAUAGUACUAAGCAAGCAUGCUUAACUCUCUAUUUAAACAAAGACGAUAGUAUUUGACCAGUAGGAAUUAUAAAUAUUGAUCAAAUAUUCAUGCCAUUUAUUUUGUACUAGCAGUUAAUCUUUGUCCAAAUAUUUAAAUUCAGACAGUGAUAUUUAACAGCACAUUUACUAAAUUUAUCACUUGUGCUUACCACAGAUACGAGGAUCACUCUUUCUUAUUUGGCUAGAAGCUGGAAGACAUCUACUCAUCCUCACCAACAAAACAGUAGUCCAAAUUUGGUUUAAAAGUCAUAGAAAGAAAUAGCAAAAUCAUGUCCAAAGUUUUAUCAGCUGAAGAGUGGAGAUGAAAUGAACAUAGAUGAGACUGAAAGCUUGAAGCUUCACAAAAGGACUGCCAUUUUGGUUUCGUCUCAGCUUAUCCCUCAAGCAAUAAUACACUUUACAAUGAUAAUAAUACUCUAGGUCUUUUACAGAAAAGAGAAAAAGACAAUGUGAUUUAAAAUCUACAAAAACUGAUAAAGUUUGUAUGUAGGACUAAUGCCCAGGGCUAGAAGUCAAGUCUUUGAGGAUUCUUGCUUCAGUUCAGCUUCUUAGCUUUGUUUGGUCCCGUUACAAAGUAAUAUCUAAACUUAAGUACAUGACCCUCAUCUCAGGAUGUUUGUAGCUUCCUUUAUCAUAGAAUCAUAGAACCUUAGAAUAUUCUGAGUUGGAAGGGACCCAUCUGAUCAUCGAGUCCACCUCUUGGCUGUAAUGUUAAUAUGUGAAGCAGUAGAUGUUUGGGGGUUUUAGCUCUGAAGGAAACAAUUUUUGAUAAUAUUUCCUUUUCAAUCAUCUACAUUCAUUGAUAUCAUUUUGCAGCUCUAAGUUCCUGGCUAGAGAAAUAGUAUGUCCAUACUAGAUAAAAAACAAGGAAGGAUAAAGAAACACCACCGGUUUAUAAACUAUGCAAAUGCUACAGCCAAUCAACCCUGCUGCCAAAAUCCAGCUAGUGUUGUGGUACUCCGUCAGUAAAGAACACCCCAGCUCUGCCUGUUACUGUUCUUCUACCUGCCCAUAGGUGGCACCAGUCAUGUUCAUAACACCUCAGUCUGUGUCUGCCAAUAUCCCUGCAGACCUCGAUUGUAGCUUCCAUCCUGGUUUCUUGCUGUCGGUGGAUGUGUUAAUCACCAAUGUUAAAUACGUGCAGAAGCAACUUCAAACAAGCUAAGCAUGAAACACUCUUCUAUCUACCACAUCACACUUCACUACCUGACCAUACAGCCAUGUCCUCAAAUAAUCAAAAAAUCAAGGCCAAAACAGUAGCAAAUAACAGUCUGAAGCAUACUUCUCAGGAAACAUGGCUUUGAAAAUGUUAAGGUGUACUUGACAUUGUUCUUCUGGCCCUGCAUCUACCAAGGAGAAGCAGCAAAUGCAGGGUCCUGAGGAAACCCAUUUCAACAAAGUACAGCCAAAAUCUGACAAAGUGCAGCAUUGACUAUAAUUUGUGCCAAAGACCUUUGUAGAUGUUAAGCACUACACUAAGUCACAGAUGUUUAUUUCCCAUCCCACAAGUUUCAGAAUUUUGGUAAAAAGACAAAAAACUGGAAAAUAAUGCUGUUCAAGAAAAAAAAUUAGUAGAAAUCCUUAAGAUUAAAUAGUUAAAAUCUUUCAUAUAAAGAAUGUUAUCUCUUUUUUUGCCAUUGUUAAAUGUUCACACUUUAAACUAUAAAUUAACUAAAUAAUGUGAUAAAAUAAAUGUCUUGAAUUAUAAAAUAGUAAAAUAUUUGUCUCAAAAGUAUCAAAAGGGAACAUUUCAAGAAGACAUUUUUUCCCCCAGAAUUGUUUCAAGUUAAUCAGAAUAAUAAGAACUGAUCUUUCUUACAAACAGGUUCUAUUGUUUUUUCAAUGUUCCUACAUUUUCCAGAAGAGAAAGCAAAUAAUUAAAAUUAUAACAUAGCACUUAUUUUGUGUCCUGCUAUAAUUUCUCAUGAUCUGCCUAUAUUUGCCUUCUUUUUCUGUUUAUUUCUUUACAAUUUUACUUUAAUUCUGAGAGCCAAAAUGUUGAAGAACAGAUGUAUAAUUAGAUACCUCCUUCCAUCCCUCUCCUCUCCAAACACUGGUGUUUGCCUAGGCCUUACUACAUCCAGAGAGAAUUACAAGGAAGACUUUACUUCAGACACAUGCAAAACUGCUCCAAACAGCCCAGGAACUGCCUCAACUUGCUCUGUCUACCUCUAAGCCCAGCACUUGAGAAAAAGCAGAGAAGAGCUUUAUUUUAUCAAUCAAGGGAUCAGCUUUAUUAUAUCUAUCAAGAGAAGGACUCAUUUACCUAACUUUAGACAUCUAAAAUGAAUAUGUGUGGUUGAAAGCACCCAUAUAGGCGGUCUCAGUGCUCAGUGGAGAGUGAUGAUCCAUUUCAGUCUGAAGUAGUUUCUGUGGGUUAAAUUGUCCUCCAUAAAUGUGAGUACCUACUGAAGCAGCCCACAGAACUAGCAUAUACUCAGCAUGUCACAUUUAUCUGAGUGUAAAGACCCUGUACAUGUACCCUGAAUGAAGAAGCAGCUUUUGGGAUACAGUGCACACAAAGGUAGCUGUGUUUCUCCUUCACCUCCAUCCUUACCAGCCCGUUGUGAUCUGCAUAGCUAGGGUUUUAAACCUUGGUCCAUCUUCAUGUCAUUGUUUAGAUGGUUUGUGGCAUCCUGUGAUGCCCUGCCCUUUACCCUUCUCUUUAGCCACCAGAGCAAAGAUAAACAUGCACUGCAAUUGCCAGGCUUUUCUUUAUAGGCCAAGAAAUAUUCUAAAUAUAUAACACUGUAUAUACUACACCCUAACACAUUCACAAAUUAUAAAGAAUUUUCAUUCACAAAGAAUUAUAAAUUAUUCCUUUUGCAACAUUAAUUCACUUUUCAGUUGGUUUAUUUAAAUUAUUAGUUAUUGCUCAGCUUACUUUUAUAAUUUAAAAAGAGAUGUUUUAACACAUUUCAGCUCUGUUAAACUACCUUUUACAUAUUAAUUAGUGUGAAAAUUUUAUUGCUGUAUUUCCCAGCUUAUUAAAAGAGUGGCACUUCACAAAUAAAAGUGCAGGAUGGAUUUAUUAUUCACAGUCCUAGUGUAAGCCUUCACAUGUACUUAAUAUGGGUAAAGUGGUUAGGUUUCCAAUGUAGUCCAGACACAUGAAUCAAAUCAAACUUGUAAUUGCCUCUUUGGGAUUUAAAACUAUUAGACUUAUGCUUUUAUAUUCUCUUUUGUUUUGCUUGAAUCACUUUCUCAGGUCUAUGAAGUACAGCUGGCACAAUAAAAGUUUGAUCAAUGCAUAACCAAUGAAAUGUAUAUUUCUUCCAGAUAUGUAAUACCAAGGUAAAAUUAUUAAUCUAUGAAAAUGGUCUUUUUCAGCUGUCUGUUCUUGGAAUUAAAAUCAGUUUCAGUCUUGAAGUGUAUGGUUUGGCCUGGGACUUUCCAGUCUGAGUUUUUCAACAGUUUCUUGUAAUUUGAUGUAUUAAAAUUAAUGCUAUCCUGAUGUGAAGUUUCAAUUGCCAGGCAGAUUGUUUUUUUUUUUUUUUU